rnacentral:rRNA from 1 species
UACGGAGGGUGCAAGCGUUGUUCGGAAUUACUGGGCGUAACGCGCGUGUAGGCGGUUUCCUCAGUCUGGUGUGAACGCCCGGGGCUCACCCCCGGAAGUUCAUCGGAUACUGGGAGACUAGAGUACCGGAGAGGAGGGUGGAAUUCCUGGUGGAGCGGUGAAAUGCGUAGAUAUCAGGAGGAACACCGGUGGCGAAGGCGGCACUCUGGACGGAUACUGACGCUGAGACGCGAAAGCGUGGGGAGCAAACAGG